rnacentral:rRNA from 1 species
UCGCCUGCAUGAAGUUGGAAUUGCUAGUAAUCGCGAAUCAGAAUGUCGCGGUGAAUACGUUCCCGGGCCUUGUACACACCGCCCGUCACACCAUGAGAGUCGAUAACACCCGAAGCCUGUGAGCUAACCGCAAGGGGGCAGCAGUCGAAGGUGGGGUUGAUGAUUGGGGUGAAGUCGUAACAAGGUAUC